rnacentral:rRNA from 1 species
GAUGAACGCUGGCGGCGUGCCUAAUACAUGCAAGUCGUACGGAAAGGCCCUUCGGGGUACUCAAGUGGCGGACGGCUGAGUAACGCGUGGGAACGUGCCCCAAAGUGAGGGAUAACGCACCGAAAGGUGUGCUAAUACCGCAUAUGGUCUUCGGAUUAAAGCUUCGGCGCUUUGGGAGCGGCCCGCGUACGAUUAGAUAGUUGGUGAGGUAAUGGCUCACCAAGUCGACGAUCGUUAGCUGGUCUGAGAGGAUGAUCAGCCAGACUGGGACUGAGACACGGCCCAGACUCCUACGGGAGGCAGCAGUAAGGAAUUUUCCACAAUGGGGGCAACCCUGAUGGAGCAACGCCGCGUGCAGGAUGAAGGUUUUCGGAUCGUAAACUGCUUUUAUAAGUGAAGAAUAUGACGGUAACUUAUGAAUAAGGAUCGGCUAACUACGUGCCAGCAGCCGCGGUAA